rnacentral:rRNA from 1 species
AGUGAACGCUGGCGGUAGGCCUAACACAUGCAAGUCGAACGGCAGCACAGUAAGAGCUUGCUCUUACGGGUGGCGAGUGGCGGACGGGUGAGGCAUACAUCGGAAUCUACUUUUUCGUGGGGGAUAACGUAGGGAAACUUACGCUAAUACCGCAUACGACCUACGGGUGAAAGCAGGGGAUCUUCGGACCUUGCGCGAUUGAAUGAGCCGAUGUCGGAUUAGCUAGUUGGCGGGGUAAAGGCCCACCAAGGCGACGAUCCGUAGCUGGUCUGAGAGGAUGAUCAGCCACACUGGAACUGAGACACGGUCCAGACUCCUACGGGAGGCAGCAGUGGGGAAUAUUGGACAAUGGGCGCAAGCCGGAUCCAGCCAUACCGCGUGGGUGAAGAAGGCCUUCGGGUUGUAAAGCCCUUUUGUUGGGAAAGAAAAGCAGCAGGUUAAUACCCCGCUGUUCUGACGGUACCCAAAGAAUAAGCACCGGCUAACUUCGUG